CGGGAGUCACAGCCUCCACACUGCUGGGGACCCGGGAGUCACAGCCUCCACACUGCUGGGGACCCAGGAGUCAUAGCCCUCCACACUGCUGGGACCCAGGAGUCAUAGCCCUCCACACUGCUGGGACCCAGGAGUCACAGCCCUCCACACUGCUGGGGACCCAGGAGUCAUAGCCCUCCACACUGCUGGGGACCCAGGAGUCACAGCCCUCCAAGCCCUGCCCAGGAGUCACAGCCCUCCACACUGCUGGGGACCAGGAGUCACAACCCUCCACACUGCUGGGGACCCAGGAGUCAUAGCCUCCACACUGCUGGGGACCCAGGAGUCACAGCCUCCACACUGCUGGGGACCAGGAGUCACAGCCAUCCACACUGCUGGGGACCAGAGUCACAGCCUCCACACUGCUGGGGACCAGAGUCACAGCCCUCCACACUGCUGGGGACCUGGGAGUCACAGCCCUCCACACUGCUGGGGACCAGGAGUCACAGCCUCCACACUGCUGGGGACCCAGGAGUCACAGCCUCCACAUUGCUGGGGACCCAGGAGUCACAGCCUCCACACUGCUGGGGACCCAGGAGUGAUCCCCUGCUUUCUGUCCCCAACUUCCUGGACUUCCCUGUAGCAUGCUGAUGCUUGGCGCUGACUCUAUCACGGCUGCCUUCAAUGACACGCAAGGAGAGUCCCUGCCCAGUCCACCGACUCUCCACUCCUACGGAACUUUUCUGCGAUUACACGGAAAGACAAAACACCAGCAAUGAAUGGGAAACGAGAAAGAACCUUCCAGACACUUGGACAUUUCAGUAACUUCCUGAGUGAUAGUGUUUAAUGUGCUUGAACUCAUCCGGCAUGUGAGAAGUCCUCAUUAAGACUUUCUCCGUUACCUUAAGGCAGAGAAAACAGGAGCUCAUGAAAUUCAACAACAAAAAAUGCUUUCUAAACAAGAAACAAGAUGAGCCAUUGGAUCGACUGGUCUUCACACAAUAUUCCCAGAAAGCCAAGUAUGCAACAACUCACUAAAAAGACAGAGCCCUCAAAGUCACAUUUAGGAAUUGUGCAUAAAUCAUAAUCCACAUCACCAGGACAUUUCCCAUUGGACAGCUUUUCGUGAAAUCUAUCCAGAAAAGUGGAUCAGAGCUCCCUCUCAACGCCUCAGGCAAAUCAUUUCUUUUAAUCAUGCAGGUCUAAGAAGAACCAUUUUAGAAAAAGAUUUAGUCAUGGAGGAGACAGAGACAAGAGGAGUGAUGUCGUACCCCUGACCAUGUGAGAGCUGUCUGACCAGGCCUAAGUUACUGCCAAGUUUACUUCCUGUUUUCUUCUCCCUUCUUCACUACCGGGCUCUUUACUAUGGUGCAUCGUUCAUGGACUCAGCCUAAAACCAGAUAACAUACAUCAGGCAGAGCCUUAACAAAGUUCAGAACAUAAAGUUUCCAGGCGAGUAGAGGAAAUCCAGCUCUUCUGAUCAGACAGCCCAGCACAAUGGAGACAAAACAUGUUCAAUCAGAAACGUAGCUUCUGCCAGACUAUCAAUGUCAACUACCUUAAGAAACCAACACACCAUCCCUCUCAACUUCUGACUAAACCCAGGAUGCUGGAAAGCUGUGCCCUGAAAGUCCGAGAUGCCAAGCAAGUGCCACUUCCCACAGAACAGACUGACUCGCACCGGCCCAUCUAAUUCUGACAUGUCACAGUUCACACGACCCUACUGGUUCGGAAAAGAAUUUUGCUACUACUAUAUGACAAAAGGUUAAAAAAAAACAACAACCCAAAAACAAAAACCAACCAACCAAUGAACAAA